rnacentral:rRNA from 1 species
AUAGCUCACUAGUCGAGUGACACUGCGCCGAAAAUGUACCGGGGCUAAACAUAUUACCGAAGCUGUGGAUUGUCCUUUGGACAAUGGUAGGAGAGCGUUCUAAGGGCGUUGAAGCAUGAUCGUAAGGACAUGUGGAGCGCUUAGAAGUGAGAAUGCCGGUGUGAGUAGCGAAAGACGGGUGAGAAUCCCGUCCACCGAUUGACUAAGGUUUCCAGAGGAAGGCUCGUCCGCUCUGGGUUAGUCGGGUCCUAAGCUGAGGCCGACAGGCGUAGGCGAUGGAUAACAGGUUGAUAUUCCUGUACCACCUAUAAUCGUUUUAAUCGAUGGGGGGACGCAGUAGGAUAGGCGAAGCGUGCGAUUGGAUUGCACGUCUAAGCAGUAAGGCUGAGUAUUAGGCAAAUCCGGUACUCGUUAAGGCUGAGCUGUGAUGGGGAGAAGACAUUGUGUCUUCGAGUCGUUGAUUUCACACUGCCGAGAAAAGCCUCUAGAUAGAAAAUAGGUGCCCGUACCGCAAACCGACACAGGUAGUCAAGAUGAGA